rnacentral:lncRNA from 1 species
UGCUCUGCGAUAUAAAGGUAUCAUGCACCAAAUGUGACACGUGUAAUGAUGCACAUGUUAGUACAAACUCAAUGAUAAGUUCAGUAAGAAAGUUCUAGAAAAAGAGGAUCAAUAGAACAUACCAGUCGUCAACACAAAAUGAUAUCUAAAAUAGACUACUCCCAGUUAUGUACGUAGUGUCCUUUUGUUGUUGGGUUAUACAAUUACCCAGCCGCGUCCGCUCUUUGAUUUUGUUAUAUGUAUUUGUAUUUGUAUCCAUCUGAUG